GAAAUGCGAUAAGUAAUGUGAAUUGCAGAAUUCAGUGAAUCAUCGAAUCUUUGAACGCACCUUGCGCUCCUUGGUAUUCCGAGGAGCAUGCCUGUUUGAGUGUCAUGGAAUUCUCAACUCUAUUUGCUUUUGUGAAUAGAGCUUGGAUUUGGAGGUUUAUUGCUGGUACUUGUGAUCGGCUCCUCUUGAAUGCAUUAGCUCGAACCUUUGCGGAUCAGCUAUCGGUGUGAUAAUUGUCUACGCCGUUGCAGUGAAGCAUAUCAAUGGGCUCGGCUUCCAAUCGUCCUUUACUGGACAAUGACUUUGACCUUUGACCUCAAAUCAGGUAGGAUUACCCGCUGAACUUCAGC
rnacentral:misc_RNA from 1 species